rnacentral:rRNA from 1 species
UACGGAGGGUGCGAGCGUUGUCCGGAAUCACUGGGCGUAAAGGGCGCGUAGGCGGCUGGGGAGGUCGGCGGUGAAAGCCCGGAGCUCAACUCCGGGUCGGCCGUCGAGACUCCUCGGCUCGAGCUCACUAGAGGCAGAUGGAAUUCCGGGUGUAGCGGUGGAAUGCGUAGAGAUCCGGAAGAACACCGGUGGCGAAGGCGGUCUGCUGGGGUGAGGCUGACGCUGAUGCGCGACAGCGUGGGGAGCAAACAGG